AGAGAUGCUUUAGUGCCUUCGGGAACUCUGAGACAGGUGCUGCAUGGCUGUCGUCAGCUCGUGUUGUGAAAUGUUGGGUUAAGUCCCCGCAACGAGCGCAACCCUUAUCCUUUGUUGCCAGCACGUAAUGGUGGGAAACUCAAAGGAGACUGCCGGUGAUAAACCGGAGGAAGGUGGGGAUGACGUCAAGUCAUCAUGGCCCUUACGAGUAGGGCUACACACGUGCUACAAUGGCGCAUACAAAGAGAAGCGACCUCGCGAGAGCAAGCGGACCUCCAUAAAGUGCGUCGUAGUCCGGAUUGGAGUCUGCAACUCGACUCCAUGAAGUCGGAAUCGCUAGUAAUCGUAAAUCAGAAUGUUACGGUGAAUACGUUCCCGGGCCUUGUACACACCGCCCGUCACACCAUGGGAGUGGGUUGCAAAAGAAGUAGAUAGCUUAACCUUCGGGAGGGCGUUUACCACUUUGUGAUUCAUGACUGGGGUGAAGUCGUAACAAGGUAGGCGUAGUGCU
rnacentral:rRNA from 1 species